UGGGGAAUUUUGCACAAUGGGGGAAACCCUGAUGCAGCGACGCCGCGUGAUUUAGAAGGCCUUCGGGUUGUAAAAAUCUUUUGUAUGGGAAGAAAAUGACAGUACCAUACGAAUAAGGACCGGCUAAUUACGUGCCAGCAGCCGCGGUAAUACGUAAGGUCCGAGCGUUGUCCGGAAUCAUUGGGCGUAAAGGGUACGUAGGCGGAUAAGCAAGUUAGAAGUGAAAUCCUAUAGCUCAACUAUAGUAAGCUUUUAAAACUGCUCAUCUUGAGGUAUGGAAGGGAAAGUGGAAUUCCUAGGGGGGCGGUGAAAUGCGCAGAUAUUAGGAGGAAUACCGGUGGCGAAGGCGACUUUCUGGCCAUAUACUGACGCUGAGGUACGAAAGCGUGGGUAGCAAACAGG
rnacentral:rRNA from 1 species